rnacentral:rRNA from 1 species
ACGCUAGCUAUAGGCUUAACACAUGCAAGUCGAGGGGAAACGGCAUUAUGUGCUUGCACAUUUUGGACGUCGACCGGCGCACGGGUGAGUAUCGCGUAUCCAACCUGCCCUUUACUUGGGGAUACCCCGUUGAAAGACGGCCUAAUACCCGAUGUAGUUCACUGAUGGCAUCAGAUAUGAAUAAAAGAUUUAUCGGUAAAGGAUGGGGAUGCGUCUGAUUAGCUUGUUGGUGAGGUAAAGGCUCACCAAGGCGACGAUCAGUAGGGGUUCUGAGAGGAAGGUCCCCCACAUUGGAACUGAGACACGGUCCAAACUCCUACGGGAGGCAGCAGUGAGGAAUAUUGGUCAAUGGGCGCAAGCCUGAACCAGCCAAGUAGCGUGCAGGAAGACGGCCCUAUGGGUUGUAAACUGCUUUUAUACGAGAAUAAUUUGAUGCACGUGUGCGUUAUUGCAUGUAUCGUAUGAAUAAGGACCGGCUAAUUCCGUGCCAGCAGCCGCGGUAAUACGGAAGGUCCAGGCGUUAUCCGGAUUUAUUGGGUUUAAAGGGAGUGUAGGCGGUUUGUUAAGCGUGUUGUGAAAUUUAGGUGCUCAACAUUUAACUUGCAGCGCGAACUGUCAGACUUGAGUACACGCAACGUAUGCGGAAUUCAUGGUGUAGCGGUGAAAUGCUUAGAUAUCAUGAAGAACUCCGAUUGCGAAGGCAGCAUACGGGAGUGUAACUGACGCUUAAGCUCGAAGGUGCGGGUAUCGAACAGGAUUAGAUACCCUGGUAGUCCGCACAGUAAACGAUGGAUGCCCGCUGUUAGCGCCUGGCGUUAGCGGCUAAGCGAAAGCAUUAAGCAUCCCACCUGGGGAGUACGCCGGCAACGGUGAAACUCAAAGGAAUUGACGGGGGCCCGCACAAGCGGA